UGGGGAAUAUUGGACAAUGGGCGCAAGCCUGAUCCAGCAAUGCCGCGUGUGUGAAGAAGGCCUUCGGGUUGUAAAGCACUUUUAUCAGGAGCGAAACGCCGUCGGCUAAUACCCGGCGGAACUGACGGUACCUGAGGAAUAAGCACCGGCUAACUUCGUGCCAGCAGCCGCGGUAAUACGAAGGGUGCAAGCGUUAAUCGGAAUUACUGGGCGUAAAGCGUGCGUAGGCGGUUUCUUAAGUCUGCUGUGAAAUCCCCGGGCUCAACCUGGGAAUGGCAGUGGAUACUGGGAGGCUAGAGUGUGUCAGAGGGUGGUGGAAUUCCCGGUGUAGCGGUGAAAUGCGUAGAGAUCGGGAGGAACAUCAGUGGCGAAGGCGGCCACCUGGGACAACACUGACGCUGAGGCACGAAAGCGUGGGGAGCAAACAGGAUUAGAUACCCUGGUAGUCCACGCCCUAAAGCGAUGCGAACUGGAUGUUGGUCUCAACUCGGAGAUCAGUGUCGAAGCUAACGCGUUAAGUUCGCCGCCUGGGGAGUACGGUCGCAAGACUGAAACUCAAAGGAAUUGACGGGGUCAUAGCUGUUUCC
rnacentral:rRNA from 1 species